GGGGAUUCAGAAUAUUCUUUGGGCUUGGCCAUCUGCUUUGCCCUGGCAGUGCCACCCCCUCUAACGCCCUCUCCAUCUGCUCCAGUCCUGCUCCUCUGUUGUCUGGAACGCACUGCAGCCUGGAGGAAGAAGUUCUCAAAUUCUGCGUGGGCUUUCUCCACUGUCUCCAAACUUCCAUCCUUGGGGGUCAGUGAUUGCAGGCACCGCCUUCCUUCCUGCUCCAUCCAGUCGCUGACCUGGGGCAGGAGAGGCAGAUUUGGACAUGAGGGGCUGCUAGGAGACCUCCCUUGUCCAGCUCCCCCACUUCCUUGCAGGCUGAGGUCUUCUGUCUUCACUCAUUCAGUGGCUAGGCCUGUGACCACUGGCUUGGACUGAAAUUCUCCCAAUUCUGGGCGUGGGAAGAAAUGACUUGGGGAGGGGGAGUGUGUGGUCAUGUUCUUCAAAGCGGGACCCUGGAGGGCAUCUGGCCUGGCCAACGCCCUCAGUGCACAGUUAUCUGAAUGAAGGCACAGGGUGGUGAACUUCAGGCUACUCUAACCACUCAGAGACGCCGGAUCAUAAAAGGGGUGGCCUCAGGGGUGAUGAGCUCCCUGUUCGGGUGUGUGUGUGUGUUUGUGUGCGCGUGCACAUGCAAACAGUGCUGGAGAAGAAGCUGCAGGCUGCAGAGGAAAGUCCAUGGGCCUGCUGGGAACUCACCAUGUGAACAUGAUCCAAUGUAGCACGUACUGAUAUUACCCCCCAUUCAACAAAUGAAGAUACUGAAGCACUGAAGAGUUAAACAUCUUGUCCAGGGCCACACCACGAGUAAGUGCUGGAGCCAGGAAUGAACCAGGGCUGUCUGAUGCAGGAGUGUGCCGUGCCCCACAGCUCCAGGCUGACAGGAAUGUGUUGGUUCUCGGCACCGGCAGUCAGAUGAAGCCACACCAGGUGCAGGUUCCAGAAUCAGACCCCGAGAUAUGCAACCACAAGCAGCAUAGCAGGGUUGAUGGAUCCAUGGGACAGAAGAGUGAAGAGAAGAAGAGAAGGAGUGGGGGUCAGGGGCUAAAGGCUGUG
rnacentral:lncRNA from 10 species